UCGCCUCUGCUCACAUGCGAAAUCUGUUUCCUGCCAGCGAUGGCUCUGUGGGCCUCAAUUCCCCACCUGAGCAAUGAGCUAAUGGUUCCUAGGCAGAGGCAGAGGCAGGACCAAUGAGGUGGACCCAAGUCCAAGUACAGUGACAUCUUUAUCUUCAUUUCCCGGCCUCAUCUCCACCUGGGGCAAAAAUGAAGUGGGGUGAUGGGCAGGCAGAGGGAAUCCAGGACCCACCCAGGCCCAACUCCCAGCCCACUGUCUCCCACCCCAGCUGGGGAAGCUACAGGGCCCAGCCAAGCAGGUGGUGGCAGGGUCACCUUGGGAAGAGGUAUUGGGGCCUGGGAAGAAGGGGGAAGAUAUUAUGCACCGAAGGCUGCAGCUGAGGACACUAAUCUGAACAGACAAGGAAUCAAUGGGAAUUUCUAUUUAGGGAGGAAAUCAAUAGGAAUUUCAAGGAAGCCAGGAUUGAGUCGGCGAACAGAGAUCUCCAGAACCAGGCAUAGAGAGCUCCGUCUCCUCAUCCGUUAGGUGGGGACAACAGGGACCUCAUCAGUGAGAAGCGAAUCCCAGAGGAGGAAACUGAGGCACCGAGGCGUUAAACAACUCGUGCGAGGUCACACAGCUAGGAAACACAAGCCCUGGCACCAGAGCCUGGGCUCGAACCCUGUGCUCUGCUGC